rnacentral:rRNA from 1 species
GGUAAUGGCUUACCAAGGCGACGACGGGUAGCCGGCCUGAGAGGGUGACCGGCCACACUGGGACUGAGACACGGCCCAGACUCCUACGGGAGGCAGCAGUGGGGAAUAUUGCACAAUGGGCGCAAGCCUGAUGCAGCGACGCCGCGUGAGGGAUGACGGCCUUCGGGUUGUAAACCUCUUUCAGUAGGGAAGAAGCGUAAGUGACGGUACCUGCAGAAGAAGCGCCGGCUAACUACGUGCCAGCAGCCGCGGUAAUACGUAGGGCGCAAGCGUUAUCCGGAAUUAUUGGGCGUAAAGAGCUCGUAGGCGGUUUGUCGCGUCUGCCGUGAAAGUCCGGGGCUCAACUCCGGAUCUGCGGUGGGUACGGGCAGACUAGAGUGAUGUAGGGGAGACUGGAAUUCCUGGUGUAGCGGUGAAAUGCGCAGAUAUCAGGAGGAACACCGAUGGCGAAGGCAGGUCUCUGGGCAUUAACUGACGCUGAGGAGCGAAAGCAUGGGGAGCGAACAGGAUUAGAUACCCUGGUAGUCCAUGCCGUAAACGUUGGGCACUAGGUGUGGGGGACAUUCCACGUUUUCCGCGCCGUAGCUAACGCAUUAAGUGCCCCGCCUGGGGAGUACGGCCGCAAGGCUAAAACUCAAAGGAAUUGACGGGGGCCCGCACAAGCGGCGGAGCAUGCGGAUUAAUUCGAUGCAACGCGAAGAACCUUACCAAGGCUUGACAUGAACCGGUAAUACCUGGAGACAGGUGCCCCGCUUGCGGUCGGUUUACAGGUGGUGCAUGGUUGUCGUCAGCUCGUGUCGUGAGAUGUUGGGUUAAGUCCCGCAACGAGCGCAACCCUCGUUCUAUGUUGCCAGCACGUGAUGGUGGGGACUCAUAGGAGACUGCCGGGGUCAACUCGGAGGAAGGUGGGGACGACGUCAAAUCAUCAUGCCCCUGAUGUCUUGGGCUUCACGCAUGCUACAAUGGCCGGUACAAAGGGUUGCGAUACUGUGAGGUGGAGCUAAUCCCAAAAAGCCGGUCUCAGUUCGGAUUGGGGUCUGCAACUCGACCCCAUGA